GACGAACGCUGGCGGCGUGCUUAACACAUGCAAGUCGAGCGGUAAGGCCCUUUCGGGGGUACACGAGCGGCGAACGGGUGAGUAACACGUGGGUGACCUGCCCUCAGCUCUGGGAUAAAGCCUGGGAAAACCGGGUCUAAAUACUGGAUAUGACUCCAUGACGCAUGUUGUGGGGUGGAAAAGCCUUGUGCGGCUGAGGAUGGGCCCGCGGCCUAUCAGCUUGUUGGUGGGGUGANGGCCUACCAAAGGCGACGACGGGGUAGCCGGCCUGAGAGGGCGACCGGCCACACU
rnacentral:rRNA from 1 species